CCCUAUGGGGCGCUGGCGCACGGAUGUCCGCUGAUCGGGACGCGGGAUACGGCGCUGGAUUUAUUGACGGAGGGGAAGACGGGGCGAGUUUUUAAUAACGGGAAGUAUCAGGAACUGGCGGAUAUCCUGUGCGAAUGGCUCCAGGGCAAUAUGAACUGGCCGGAGUUGUCCGAUCAGGCGUUGGCGUCGGCGAGGAGCGAGUUAUCGCUGGCCCGGUCGAUCGAGAAACUCAGCGACUGUUACCGGUCGGUCCUGAUGGGCAAAGCGGCGGCAAAGUAGGGAAUUAUGGAUCAACGGAAAGAGCACGAUCAACUGGGCGAGCGGUCAAUUCCCGAAGGGUGUCUGUGGGGCAUUCAUACGGCGCGGGCGGUGGAGAAUUUUUCGGUGUCGGGUCGGCGGGAGGGC
rnacentral:rRNA from 1 species